GGCCAAGUUUUUAAGGGCGCACGGUGGAUGCCUUGGCACCAGGAACCGAUGAAGGACGUGGGAGGCCACGAUAGGCCCCGGGGAGCUGUCAACCGAGCUUUGAUCCGGGGGUGUCCGAAUGGGGAAACCCGGCAGUCGUCAUGGGCUGUCACCCGCUGCUGAACACAUAGGCAGUGUGGAGGGAACGCGGGGAAGUGAAACAUCUCAGUACCCGCAGGAAGAGAAAACAACCGUGAUUCCGGGAGUAGUGGCGAGCGAAACUGGAUGAGGCCAAACCAGUCACGUGUGAUACCCGGCAGGGGUUGCGUGGUUGGGGUUGUGGGAUCUCUCUUUUGCAGUCUGCCGGCUGUGAGGCGAGUCAGAAACCGUUGAUGUAGGCGAAGGACAUGCGAAAGGUCCGGCGUAGAGGGUAAGACCCCCGUAGCUGAAACAUUAGCGGCUCGUUUGAGAGACACCCAAGUAGCACGGGGCCCGAGAAAUCCCGUGUGAAUCUGGCGGGACCACCCGUUAAGCCUAAAUAUUCCCUGGUGACCGAUAGCGGAUAGUACCGUGAGGGAAUGGUGAAAAGUACCGCGGGAGCGGAGUGAAAUAGUACCUGAAACCGUGUGCCUACAAGCCGUGGGAGCGUCGCUGGUGAGUUUACUCAUCAGUCGUGACUGCGUGCCUUUUGAAGAAUGAGCCUGCGAGUUUGCGGUAUGUUGCGAGGUUAACCCGUGUGGGGAAGCCGUAGCGAAAGCGAGUCCGAAUAGGGCGUGGAGUAGCAUGCUCAAGACCCGAAGCGGAGUGAUCUAGCCAUGGGCAGGUUGAAGCGGAGGUAAGACUUCGUGGAGGACCGAACCCACCAGGGUUGAAAACCUGGGGGAUGACCUGUGGUUAGGGGUGAAAGGCCAAUCAAACUCCGUGAUAGCUGGUUCUCCCCGAAAUGCAUUUAGGUGCAGCGUCGUGUGUUUCUUGCCGGAGGUAGAGCACUGGAUAGGCGAUGGGCCCUACCGGGUUACUGACCUUAGCCAAACUCCGAAUGCCGGUAAGUGAGAGCGCGGCAGUGAGACUGUGGGGGAUAAGCUCCAUGGUCGAGAGGGAAACAGCCCAGAGCAUCGACUAAGGCCCCUAAGCGUGUGCUAAGUGGGAAAGGAUGUGGAGUCGCAGAGACAACCAGGAGGUUGGCUUAGAAGCAGCCACCCUUGAAAGAGUGCGUAAUAGCUCACUGGUCAAGUGAUUCCGCGCCGACAAUGUAGCGGGGCUCAAGUACACCGCCGAAGUCGUGUCAUUGCGAUAUUACUCCUAACGGGGAUCGUGAUGGGUAGGGGAGCGUCGUGUGCCGGGUGAAGCAGCCGUGGAAACGAGUUGUGGACGGUUCACGAGUGAGAAUGCAGGCAUGAGUAGCGAUACAAGAGUGGGAAACUCUUGCGCCGAUUGACUAAGGGUUCCUGGGUCAAGCUGAUCUGCCCAGGGUAAGUCGGGACCUAAGGCGAGGCCGACAGGCGUAGUCGAUGGACAACCGGUUGAUAUUCCGGUACCCGCUUUGAAGCGCCCAAUACUGAAUCAGGCGAUGCUAAGUCCGUGAAGCCGCCCUGGAUCCUUCGGGUGAAGGGGAGUGGUGGAGCCGACGGACCAGACUUGUAGUAGGUAAGCGAUGGGGUGACGCAGGAAGGUAGUCCAGCCCGGGCGGUGGUUGUCCCGGGGUAAGGGUGUAGGCCGUGUGGUAGGUAAAUCCGUCGCACGUUAAGGCUGAGACCUGAUGCCGAGCCGAUUGUGGUGAAGUGGAUGAUCCUAUGCUGUCGAGAAAAGCCUCUAGUGAGUUUCAAGGCGGCCCGUACCCUAAACCGACUCAGGUGGUCAGGUAGAGAAUACCGAGGCGUUCGGGUGAACUAUGGUUAAGGAACUCGGCAAAAUGCCCCCGUAACUUCGGGAGAAGGGGGCCAUUUCUGGUGAGGGAACUUGCUUCCUGAGCUGGGGGUGGCCGCAGAGACCAGCGAGAAGCGACUGUUUACUAAAAACACAGGUCCGUGCGAAGCCGUAAGGCGAUGUAUACGGACUGACGCCUGCCCGGUGCUGGAACGUUAAGGGGACCGGUUAGCUUGGAUUCGUUCAGGCGAAGCUGAGAACUUAAGCGCCAGUAAACGGCGGUGGUAACUAUAACCAUCCUAAGGUAGCGAAAUUCCUUGUCGGGUAAGUUCCGACCUGCACGAAUGGCGUAACGACUUCUCGACUGUCUCAACCAUAGGCCCGGUGAAAUUGCAUUACGAGUAAAGAUGCUCGUUUCGCGCAGCAGGACGGAAAGACCCCGGGACCUUUACUAUAGCUUGAUAUUGGUGUUCGGUUCGGCUUGUGUAGGAUAGGUGGGAGACUGUGAAGCGCCAACGCCAGUUGGUGUGGAGUCGUUGUUGAAAUACCACUCUGGUCGUGCUGGAUGUCUAACCUGGGUCCGUGAUCCGGAUCAGGGACAGUGUCUGGUGGGUAGUUUAACUGGGGCGGUUGCCUCCUAAAGAGUAACGGAGGCGCCCAAAGGUUCCCUCAGCCUGGUUGGUAAUCAGGUGUUGAGUGUAAGUGCACAAGGGAGCUUGACUGUGAGACUGACGGGUCGAGCAGGUACGAAAGUAGGGACUAGUGAUCCGGCGGUGGCUUGUGGAAGCGCCGUCGCUCAACGGAUAAAAGGUACCCCGGGGAUAACAGGCUGAUCUUCCCCAAGAGUCCAUAUCGACGGGAUGGUUUGGCACCUCGAUGUCGGCUCGUCGCAUCCUGGGGCUGGAGUCGGUCCCAAGGGUUGGGCUGUUCGCCCAUUAAAGCGGUACGCGAGCUGGGUUUAGAACGUCGUGAGACAGUUCGGUCCCUAUCCGCUGUGCGCGUAGGAGUCUUGAGAAGGGCUGUCCCUAGUACGAGAGGACCGGGACGGACGAACCUCUGGUGUGCCAGUUGUUCUGCCAAGGGCAUGGCUGGUUGGCUACGUUCGGAAAGGAUAACCGCUGAAAGCAUCUAAGCGGGAAGCCUGCUUCGAGAUGAGGGCUCCCUCCUCCUUGAGAGGGUAAGGCUCCCAGUAGACGACUGGGUUGAUAGGCCAGAUAUGGAAGCACUGUAAGGUGUGGAGUUGACUGGUACUAAUAGGCCGAGGGCUUGUCCUC
rnacentral:rRNA from 1 species